GACGAACGCUGGCGGCGUGCUUAACACAUGCAAGUCGAACGGAAAGGCCCUGCUUUUGUGGGGUGCUCGAGUGGCGAACGGGUGAGUAACACGUGAGUAACCUGCCCUUGACCUUGGGAUAACUUCAGGAAACUGGGGCUAAUACCGGAUAGGAGCUCCUGCCGCAUGGUGGGGGUUGGUAAGUUUCGGCGGUUGGGGAUGGACUCGCGGCUUAUCAGCUUGUUGGUGGGGUAGUGGCUUACCAAGGCUUUGCCGGGUAGCCGGGCUGAGAGGGUGACCGGCCACAUUGGGACUGAGAUACGGCCCAGACUCCUACGGGAGGUAACAGUGGGGAAUAUUGCACAAUAGGCGGAGGCCUGAUGCAGCAACGCCGCGUGCGGGAUGACGGCCUUCGGGUUGUAAACCGCUUUCGCCUGUGACGAAGCGUGAGUGACGGUAAUGGGUAAAGAAGCACCGGCUAACUACGUG
rnacentral:rRNA from 1 species